AUACUAAACUAUCAUUAGCAGCUGAGCAGAAUAACUCUACAGUGUACACUCGGUUUAAAUGAGUACGUUCAUAUUGUCAGGCCUGCAGGGUACGUACGAACCGCAGUGUGCUAAACUCACUGACUGAAAAAAAUAGAAGGUCCAUCUUUCGGCUCUUUUGUCUUCGAUUUUGCUGGUGCAGACAUUGGCGUUGUUAACUUCAGGGAUUUGUCUGGGCAGGAGAUCCAAGAUCAGUAAGUCCUAACCAUAUAAGUUCUGAUAAAGGUGAUAAUGGAAGAGGCAGUGUUCGACUACGUAAUGUUAGACCACAAAUUUGAAUCCACAAUAAACUCAUACACUGAUCACCUGAUGCUCCUA